UCAUAAAAAAUAAUUUUAUAAAAAAAAUUAAAAAAAAAACCAAGAUUAUCUCUGACAUAUCUAUAUCUUAAUCUAUAACCCUUAUAAAAAUACAGAACGAAAUACUUCUUGAGAAUAGUUCUUUUUGGUACUAUUACAGCCUUACCCCCAACAUUAAUGAAUUGUCAAUUCUGCCCCUUAUUCCUAUUUGUUGAUGCCUGCUGCUCUCCCACCGACUUACUUAGCCUUUGCUCUCUCACCGACUUCCUCACCUUCUUCCCCUUUGUCUUUUCAUCUCAUAAGUCAUAAGGAAAAAGGGUUAGAGUAUUCAGGGGAAACGAGGAGAGAGAACCUAGAGAGAGAAACUUCAGCAACUCAACACCAACGACAUCCCUUUCGACGAUGGUGCUUCGAUUCUUGUGGAAGAUGAUUUUCCGAUCGUCACAUUUGUCAGGCGGAAGGAGUAAGACGGAGCAAGGUUUGGUGGAUUCUAGUUUGAGGUGAAGAAACUCAGAUAUUAUUGCAUGGUCGAUAUGUCAUUCAUUUGUUUAUUUAAUUUCUAGAAUGUAAUGAUUUAUAUAUGAUCUAUGCUGUGAUUUGUAUGUUGUUGUUGAUGUUUGUUUGUGUUUUGUGGAAUUGAUGGAAUUUUAAUUUGAUUGAUUGAGAAACAAGCUUAGUUGAUGUUAGGAUA